UUGUUUACUCAUUGUUAAAAAAAAUUACAUCAUUGUACCUAUCCAAGUGUUUCAAGUUGUGUGUGUUUGUGUAUUAUUAAUUAAUACAGCUUGUAUUAUUAAUUAAUACAAGCCUCUAGAAGAUUGCCUCCGUUGCUCUUGGAGUAGAAACAAGAUAACAACGAGAAGAAGGUAAUAGGAGGAGAGAAGCGACCAGUACAGAUAAGAGUUGAGGUCCUUUCUGCUUUUCAGGAUUUGAGUCGGCAAA